UCAGAUGCUUGCUCUACACGCAAAAUCAUCAGAUGACUGCAGCAAAUGCCUCUCAGAACACAAAGCAGUAUCAAGCAGGCAGCAGCUAAAACAAGCCCCCCGCUGCCAGAGGAAGCAAACAGUGGGGCUGUGGUUUCCCACCGAUUUCCCCAGCCCUUAGUUGGUGGAGGGAGGAUUAUUAAACCCUUCUGCUUUGCUCUGAAGUGCUACAAAUAGAACGGUAAAUCUAAAUAAUGAGGUGCACGCUGUUCCCUUCAGUAUGUGCUGCAGAUGACAAGCAGGGACCAAAACCCACAAGGAAAACCAUGCUGCCUGUGAAUGGCAUGUCAUCUUUCUUGAUGAUCAACAAAACAAUCACAUUUGUAUAGCACUAAACAGUCAGCCGCUUCAUCCACCAUGGAACUGCCGCAGCUCACGCAGGCUGGGAGGACCAGCCCAGCAACAUCAUCCUCUCCGAGGGAAAAGACUGGUUUCCUGAACUGGAAUUUGCCCAUGGCAACGAGAUUAAGGAGAUGAUUCCUCUCCCACCUUGCUUUUUUUGACACGAAAAAGCAGUGGAGAAUAACCCUCCAUUUCUAUCUGCUCAACCAUUACAACACUAAAAGCCUCCAUAUGUUGAACUGUCUUUUGCAUGUAGAAAAGGCAUUCAAAUCCCUGGCUUAUUACUCAGUGUUUUCAACCAAACCUGAGUAACCAAGAGAUUUGCUUUAAGUCUCAGAUGAACUUGUUGCAGAGCCAGAAACUCAAUCUGAAGGCCUAAAAAUUGAACUUCAAUUGUCUAAAAACCAGAGACAUCCACAACAGGCCAGUGGAAGUAGCACAGGACUUACAAAAGAGCUACGCUGAUCUGAAGUGGCAACUGGAGGAGCAUCUAGAGUGACAUGUGUGCAACUGAGUCCCAGCCUUGCAUCUUGGCCUUUUCCCUCAACAGACGGACAGCAACAGGGAGAUACUUUCAAAACCGACUUCAUGUGUUAACAAGUUACAGGUACAAUCUCUGUUCCUGUAGGACUAAUACAAUUGUACUGCACCUUCACUGAACACAGGAAAAAUCUGCAGGAAUUUAGACACAAAACAGCCGAUUUCUAUUGUGCCGUACUUCGAGCCAUUUCUGAGCUCACAGGAGAGGAGACAGAAAAAUGAGCAGCCAUUUGAAGCAUGUGCUGCUAUUAAUGCUCACUAAGUCCACUUCACCCAUGUAGCUACUGUUAAGCAUAUAGUAUAAAGUGGACUUGAACAAUAAUAUUGGAUAUUUCCUUGCCCCUGCACACCGCAAAAAGUAAAGUUCAUGAAGAGUUUUUAAUUAUAAUUCACACAAAAAUGCAUUGCUGCUGCUUCCUGACUUACUUAGGAAGGACACCGUCAUAAGGAAAUGAAAGAGAAGUAAGUUUUGCCCCACAGCCAAAAGGAAAAAACAUACCAUUUCCUGUAUGAGUGGAAAGCAAACAUUGAGAGAAUACAAGUGGAUAUUUCAGAACUUCCAUUGCAUGUAUCCAUGCACAUGGACAAGGCAUAAUUUAAAGAGCUAUGGUGUUGCUGAAGCUGGGGACACUUUUGUUGAUGUCUGUUGAGAAUCACUGUUAUAUAACUCAUAUCCCAGCACAGAGAAAUGUCAGAGAGCUCCAGCAAAAAUAUAACUUGGAAAAAUUUGUCAUUACAGAUGGUCUAAAUUAUACUGCACAGCACAGACUGUCUCUUCUCCUACAGCAUUUUGCAGGUUGUGUAUGUAAGAAAUCCUCUAUUCCCUGCUAUAGAACUAGGAAAUGGAUCAUGAAAUAAUUUCUAGUGUAAAGUCAGCAGAUAUAAAACUAAUGAAUGAGUCUUGACUCAACAUGACUUUCUCUGGGUGCCAAACUAGACCUUAAACUAGGGCAGGCUAAGAUCUACCAGUUCUGAUGUGAUGCUGCAGACAUCACAGAAAACAAACAAAAAAUGAAUGAGUGGAUAUUUUGGUCAGUGUUUAUCAGGGUCAGCUGACAACUUCUUACAUAGACAGAUGUGCUGAUUUAGGUUAGGUACAUUUAACUGUGGCUUUGUUUCAAAAAAAACAAUGGGCCUGCAUGGCAGCUGCAGGAAGUGUCACCUAGCCAGCAAAGCCAAAGGAGUUAAAAGUGGGUUUUUUGGGACACCACACAUAUUGAAAAGAACCUUGCAAAAUCUGUGCCACCCUUCAUGGCCUUCCACAGACUCAUUCUAUUUUCCUCAUGGACCUUUCUCCUGCUACCCUACCACCUUCAGGAUUCAUGUUUACCUCCUCUGCAUUGAUUCUAUCCAUGAAGGUAUAAGGCUGCUUUCAGCAGACUGUGUCUCUUAUCCUCCUCAACUGACUCCUUAGUAUGUUCACAGUGAUGCCUUAUGUCUGCUUUGAUUGUCUACUGGUCAGAAGUAGUUUUGUCCACAACCCUGUGAAUGUAACAACUCUCACUGGCUUUGAAACAGGCCUUAGACAAGGAAGAACAGAAUUUGCUAGCAUCUUUUCAGUAGCCCAUACAGUGAUUAAAAAGGUAAUAGAAAAAAUUCCUUUGACUUUUGUUUGCAUAGCUCCUCCUGAAAAGUGGGGAAAGUAAGAGAAAGUUAGAGCCAGUCCAUAGUCUACUACAGAAAUUAACUUCAAUGAGAAUAAUGUUGCUUACAAACCCAGGAAGCUGCACUGCAUAGGAAAUAGAGCAUGAAAAGGAUUUGUGCUGUGAUGUCAAGAUUAGAGAGAACAAGCAACAUGAAUUAGCAAGUGGAAUGCAAAUAUUGUACAUUCAAGUGUAACUUCAGUGUAAUAUCAGAGAUGUGGAUGCAUAAGGCAUUGGAGAGUCUCUAAAGUAAUAUUAAAACUGCUGCUUUCUUCUGACUGGAGUCCAUGCACAGUGGCUUAGGUGCCCCUAGCCUCCAUUGAUCUGGAGCUGAUGCUUUCUCCUUACUCUUCUUCAGCAGUUUUUAUUGCAUGAAAUUAGAGAUUUUGCUUAUGUGGAUACUUUGCAUUUGGGACAGUGACUUGCUCACAAGAACAUGUGGAGGUUGACACGUCUUGGCUUUGGACAGAGACAGCAGUAACUAACCAAAGAUAACAUAGAGGUCCUUUAGAGAGUGGUGGGGGGAAGAAAAGCAGAGUCAUGAGAAAGUGAGUGUGCUAGUAAGCACAAGCUAGGCUGCUUUGUUGGCUAGGUGGAUCAGUAACUAGAGACAACAGUCUCAGCCUUCUGCGCUUCUCUUUGCACCUCCUUGCAAGAUGAAGGAACAGGGCAGCAUUUAAUUGAGAUGAAUUUUUCUAAUGCAUCAUUAUUUAGUUUCAGGGCCUUCUUGCCCCUGAACAUGGAGCUCAGAGUUGUAUGUGUAAUGCUGCACUUACAAUAAAGCAACUACUUGAAUGCUUUACUGAAUCAGGGCCAUGGUAUACGAAAAGCUUUCUGUAACUGGAAGGGUUGAACUAGGAACCCCUUGAAUGCAGACAAGAAAAAUUAGUUUUAUUGUGUAAAAAAAACAUUUUUAAAGGCUUUACAUGCUUUAUGAGCUUGGGGCAGAAGUAUUUCAAAAUGUGAGAAAAUGUUAAGCAAGUUUCCUUUAAUUCUGCAAGAAUGGAGCCUAUGUUUUUAAAGGAAAGGCUCUAGGUCUAAGCUUGUCCAUGCCUAUAAAAGCCCAUUGUUAAUUUAAGAUCAGUUGGAUGACCAUCAUUACCUCCUUGUUACGAAGCUCUCCGCUUCUCUUGAUCUGUGAGCUCCAGAUUUGAAUACUGAAAUGACAGGUUUAGGGCUCACGCCAUAUUAUUCCUCCAUAUUCUCCCUUCAUUUACAGGUUUAAUGCCAUAGAAAUUGUCUUCUCUCACCUUAAUUACUUGACCUUCUCCCUGUAAAUGGCGUAGUUGCGCUGCAAUGACUGCACUUGACUCAACAGCUACCUUCUGUGUGCAUUGCUCUUCCCUACUUGACCCAAAAAUCAUCUCAGUACUUCAUUUUUGGAGGCAUUUCAUUGCUUUUCCUUAAGGAAAUUAAUUCCUUCCUUGUACAAGAAAGCUGACUUCUGUUUUCCACUUGAAUACUUUUUUAGGCAGAGAGGGGAGGAGGAAUGAAGUGGGUGAUUUGGGGUUUUAAAUCAAUAAAUUCAAACUCCCAAAAUACAGUACUAGUGCAAAGGGGCAAGUAUGUAAUUUUCUCAGUAGCAAAUAGAGCUACAUGUAUCUAAAUCCAAGACAUUCAUCAGCUCUUUUAUAGGAUAAGACAAGGCUCAGAAAUGAUUUUCUGUUUAAGUACAUAAGAUCAAACAUGUUUGUCAUUUUAGCCUUCUCUUUAUUCUAUCUGAUUUCAAGAUCUUCAGACAGACUCUCUUUAGAUGUCAUUGCUUCAAGCUUGU